GUGGCAAAUCAGUACGACCAGCUCCUGUUGAACCCCCCCAGGUGCGGAAGCAAGCAAGGGUAGACAGUUGUAGCGGUGCGAUACGGAUUUGCCAUUUU
rnacentral:SRP_RNA from 1 species